rnacentral:rRNA from 1 species
UACAGAGGUGGCAAGCGUUGUUCGGAAUUAUUGGGCGUAAAGGGCGCGUAGGCGGCUUGGCAAGUCAAAGGUGAAAUCCCUCGGCUCAACUGAGGAACUGCCUUUGAAACUGCCUGGCUUGAGGCCGGGAGGGGGUAGCGGAAUUCCCAGUGUGGCGGUGAAAUGCGUAGAUAUUGGGAGGAACACCAGUGGCGAAGGCGGCUACCUGGACCGGUUCUGACGCUGAGACGCGAAGGCGUGGGGAGCGAACGGG